AUUGUCGACAAGAAUAACUUGGUGGUCACCACUCCUGCCUUUAUGUAUGAUACGCCGAAUUUCCACGAGAUUUAUGAUGGAGUUGGCAAAAUGAUUCUAGCACUUCUUCAUUUGUUAGGAAGCAAAUAAAUGCAGAAAAAUUGGAAUAUUUUGACAAAAGACUUUACACGAGAUAUAGUAUAUGUAAUAUUUACAAAAAUUGAAUUUUUCAACAAAAAUUAGGCCAAAAAAUAAUUACAACAAUAAAAAUUAUCAUAAUAAGCCCUUGUUCCUAUUUUAAAAGUCUUUUGUUAUGGUAUAUGAUGAUUUAUGAUUGAAAAUUUCAUCUCUCUUUUAUGAAGGUUUGCAAACCUCAAUUAUGUUUUCUGUGGUGUUCAUUUGUAUGAAAUUACUUGAAACAGUUUUUGAUUAUUAAAAGUUAUUUUUGCUUAUUCAGUUUUAAUUAUAGAUGAAUUUUCAAUUAUUGGAUAACUGAUAUAUCAAUUAUUUUUGUAAUCAUUUCUUGGAAUUAAUAAGCAAACAAAUUAGUAUGUAUUUAAAUUCAAUUAUUGAUGAAUUAAUAGUAAUAUUUAUCAUAAUAUAAAUAUAUUGUGUAUGCUUUUAAGAAUAUUUUUUUUAAACAUUUUAAAAGACAUUUCUAAACAUUGAAGGACUAUGGAAAACUUCUUUAAAGAUUUAUUGUGUUUCUAUCAAUUAAAAAAUUAUAAAGUUUUCAUUCCUUUGAUACUUGCUAUUGAAAAAUAUAAUAAUCUACUUUAUUCUAUUUUUAUGUUAUAUAUAUAUAUAUAUAUUAUUAAGAACUACUGUGUUCUGUUAAUAGGAGAAAAAACAAACAGUUCUAGUUAUGCUCACUUCCUGUUUAGUAUCUUCUAUCAUUGCUGUUUUGCAAUGUUUGAUCUCUAAACAAUUAACCGUAGCCCAUUGGAAAGUUUUUAUUCUAACUUAGAAGUAAUUUUUUUACCUUUAUCCUAGUCUAUAGAGUUCUUUGUACUGUUGAAGAACCUAUAGAAAUUACUGUAUUCGCAUACAAUAAACACAUCGGUUACAACAGGCUGCAAGUGUGUUUGACUCAUUUCAGUAGCAAUAGUUAAAGGUGUUGCCUCAAAGUUGAUUAAGACCUUUAAAUGUGAAAGCAGCUUGAAUGCACUCAUCAUUUUAUAAGGAGGGAAACAGCAAAAGGAACCUACUUACCUAUUAUAAUGAAGUCCUUGUCCUCCUAGUGUCAACUGUGUAUUUUUGAGUAUUUGCUUAAUUUUUUGGAAGAUUUAAAUCUUUGUAUAAAUUAGCACAGCACUACAGGAUUCUUUGGCAUAUCAUGAAAGGCUAAACAUUGAUUUCUAUUGGAGAUAGCAGAGCAUUGAGGAAAUAAAUCAUACAAACACUAUGAAAACUCCAGAAAAAUUUUAAUCAAAAAUAUUUUCAAACCAGUUUAAUGGUUCAGCUUCAGUUGCUUACUACUAUGUUUGAAUAAAGGACUGAAUUCUUAAGAUAUUUGUAUGAUUUGUUUUGUAUAACUUUCCAAUUAUGUGUGGUUAUUGAUUGAGAGCAUUGAGAUAUAAAUAUACCAUCCAAUUGUUGUGUAUUAUCUUUUUUGUAUAGUAUAGGCAGAUGUACUAUCAAAAAGUAUAUUAAAUGUGUUGUGUCUUUGGAUUUCUAAGUUUAAGCAACAGUUCUCACACAGCUUAAUAAAAUAUAAAAUCAUGUCCAAGUUAACACUAUUUUAAUUUACUAUUAAAAUUAUUAAGUAAUGUAUUAACUCAUGUUUCUAAUUUCAUAUAUUGUUUUACUGAAUAUUAAAUAAGCAUGAUAUAAAGCAAUUUGUUAUAGCUGAUGUGUUUAUUGUAAAUGGUUACAGCAACUUGUACAGGUUCUUUCACAGUACAUAGAACUCUAUAGAGUAGGCUAAAAGUAAAGUUAGAAAAAUUAUUUCCCAACAAGCUGUAGGUACAGUACUUGUUUAGAGAUCAUACACACCAUAAAAUGUGAUGAAAUAGCAAUGAUAGAAUA